GUGGGGAAUUUUGGACAAUGGGCGCAAGCCUGAUCCAGCAAUGCCGCGUGCAGGAAGAAGGCCUUCGGGUUGUAAACUGCUUUUGUACGGAACGAAACGGUCCUGGCUAAUACCCGGGGCUAAUGACGGUACCGUAAGAAUAAGCACCGGCUAACUACGUGCCAGCAGCCGCGGUAAUACGUAGGGUGCGAGCGUUAAUCGGAAUUACUGGGCGUAAAGCGUGCGCAGGCGGUGCUGUAAGACAGGCGUGAAAUCCCCGGGCUCAACCUGGGAAUUGCGCUUGUGACUGCAGUGCUGGAGUGCGGCAGAGGGGGAUGGAAUUCCGCGUGUAGCAGUGAAAUGCGUAGAUAUGCGGAGGAACACCGAUGGCGAAGGCAAUCCCCUGGGCCUGCACUGACGCUCAUGCACGAAAGCGUGGGGAGCGAACGGGAUUAGAUACCCGAGUAGUCC
rnacentral:rRNA from 1 species